AUUAAAUUUAAAUCCACUUCAUUCUGAAACGUGUUGGAGGUAGAUCAUUAUUAAAAAGAGGUUUUGGGAUUUUGUCACAGUUUACUGAAAUUGUGUUUCUCUUUCAGGACGCUGUACUGUGCCAAGGGAAACUACGACUUUGGCAUCUCUCGUGUUAUCAAGAGCUUGGAGCCGUACAAUAAGAAGCUGGGGACGGACACAUGGUUCUACGCCAAGCGUUGUUUCCUCUCUCUGCUGGAGAACAUGUCCAAACACAUGGUCAUGCUGAGGGACGCUGUGGUGGAGGAGUGUAUUCAGUUCCUGGAGCACUGUGAGGUCUACGGGAAGGAAGUGCCGGCCAUCAUCGAGCAGCCUCUGGAGGAGAUUCACAUUCACAUUGGCAAGAACACUGUCACCUACGAGGCUCGACUGCUCAAGGCGCUGUUCUAUGAUGUCAUUGGCUGGAACAAGUGACUUCAUUACAGGAUGUCAAGAGUAAUGACUGAGGUUUGAUGAUCCAAGAAACAUGACUGACUGCAGCCAGAGAUGGUAUUUUGUCAAUAAAGUCGACUCAAAGGAUAAUUAACCUGAAGCCAGAGACAAUCAACACUACACACCUCAGGGGAAGCUUCUCUAAUGAAGUGAGAGGGUGAGUUGAAGCAGAAGAGUCAAGAGAACAGACGUUAGGAGGUCUGGUUCAGUGAUCUCAGCUCUUACAGUAAUAGUCAGUAAUACUCGCUGUGCAGAGUAUCAUGAGCUUCUUUUAUUAGCGGUGUUUAUUCUACAUGAAAUACAUAAACACUUUGUUUCAAGUUCACCUACAUACAUUCAUGAUUCAUGCAUUUAUCCUCUUUGGUGAGCGUGUUUUCUAUAGUAUACAUAACAUUAUUAUCAGUAACAAAAACAUAAGGACAAUAAAGAUCGUUAUAUUUGAAAUAAAAAUCAUUGCCCUGCAAUCUUUUUCUGUGAAAUAAUGAAUGUGUUUAUUCACAGCUGUAGUAGAUAUAAUAAACAUGGAUGUUCAAUUUA